UGUAUGUUCAUUUUAUAUACUGAUGACUCUUUUAAUCUUGUAAGAACCACAUCCAGCAAUGAAUCACAUUCCUUGAGUGAAUAAUUCAGUCCUUGACGCCAACCUCUGAGGGGAAUAUUGUGGUCAUGCUGUCUGAACAGUGUGGUAGCUAUGGCUACCUAUAUAAUUCUUCGCAAUGAAAAAAAGUGACAAUGACAUUAAAUUUAAUCAGGUUCCCCUUUUCUGUGGUUCCCACUGGGAUGAGCCACUAGUGUCUUGCCUUAAAUAUUCAAAGGCCUUCCUGAGUAGUUUGCAUGUGUUCGUAUCCUGGGACAAUGUCCUGCUAAUACAGAACAAUAGAUCUGUCAUGUAUUUCUCCUGCAAGUAGAUGUGAGUCUAAAGUUCCUAAGUAUAGGGUUUAAGGGCUUGUCUUCCCUUCAAUGACCAUCUUAAGUCUUAACAAAUGGCUCUAAGGAAAUGCACAUAGACACUAAAGUGUAAUGAACUUGAUUAUCUGAGUUGGAAACUCAAAUGGAUUAAAGAACCGUGUGUGCUAAAUUAUAAUAAAGCUGCCCAGCAUUAUUUUUAGUCACACUUCAUCCAAUAAGAAAGACACGGUGCAGGAUAUCACAUGGUUGAAAACAUUUGAAACACAUAGCUUAAAAGAUAUUUGGGGACAGCAGCAUACAUUUAUGCCCUUGUACUCCUGCAGAAUACUCAAGUGGACAUCAUUUUCUUUUAAAUCAUAGUUCAGAGGUUACAGGAUAUAUUUUAUGUCCAUUUUGUAUUUCUGGAAGGAUAGUGAUAAGCUAACUUUUAAUGUUCAAAGGAUGAAAAAAAUAAAAAGAUUUUUUUCAUAAGCAUCUGUGAGUGUCUGCAACAGAUCUGUGCCAUUCAUUUAAAAUCUUUCUGAUGGCUCAUAACUUUGAUACUGGAGAAACUGUAGAAAGGGAAAUGCAAAUUAAUUUCUUCUUGUCUUUUUCAAGAAGUCAAAAUCAACCAAACAAAUAAAGACUAGCAACAAAACAUAAUUCCUAAGAAAGAAUUAUACUUUGAGAGUAAUUAAGAACUGUGCAUGACACUUUAUAACUGUCUAAACAGAGCAACUCUGUCUUGGGUUAUAUUUAAUCCCUUAGUAUUUCCUAUUAAAAACUCACCCUGAGAAUCUUUGAAUAGCAUUAUUUAAUAUAUUUGUGUGGCAUAGUAGAAAUCUAAGAAUAAUAUUUAAAUGGUGUAAUAUACCAUAGCCAUAAUAUAAUAAAAGUGAACUUCACAAGUCUCUCAGACCUUUGAGGCUGCUUGCAUAAAUUCUGCCUGCUAAAUUUCUUCUAUUAUAUAUAACUAAAAUAGAGGUAGAAAUGGAGUCUGUGGUAAAUACUGACCAUUUCUUUCUUUUCCUCUACCUUCUUGUCUCUUAUUAUUGAGUCUUAGAUGCUAUUGAAAUCUUAGGGUUCUUUGUCUUGCAGAUAUGCAUGUAUAACUCCUAUUAAUAUCAAUUUCAUUGCCUGAAAAUUGUUAGCUCAUUGCACAAUUGAAAGGAUGAUUAAUCCCUUUAUAGCUUUCUGUUUUCACUCAUUAGGUAGGUGUUUGAAGAUGGAAAACUUAAAAUUGUUUCUAAUGUCAAGAUCAUAGUCAAAGAAGAAAGCUUAUCAUAAAUCUAUAAGGAAUUUCUCCUCUAAUGACAUAUCAUUGACCUCAGAGUCAUGGAAGAGUUCAAGGUCAACCAGUGAGACACUCACAGUGGUCAACUAUUUUUGACUGACUGACACUUGUUUUUUAACCUUUGAAAAUGUGAUUUCAUGUUUAUCAAACUUUGACAUAAAGCAUUGUGUGUAAUAUAGAAAUAGGGACCUUAUGGUAUGGCUUUCUCAUAUAAAUUUGACAGACAAUAUAUUGGCAUCCUCUUUAGGACAGAUCAGUGUCAAGGGGGCAGGAGGUCAGGAUUGAACAGACUUACUGAAUAGGUUUAAGUCAGAGAAGACAGGUUCCACAGGAAAACUGCCUUUCCAAAUGGUCCCAUUUGUAGACCUAAGACGUCGCAACUCAACUCUCUCUACUCUUCCUAUUGUUUGGCAGCAGGGAGAUAGAACAAAUCAGUAACCUGUGUGUAUAUGCCAAAGAUGAUGUGAGAUCAUCGUUCAGGGUAAAAUGGAAAGGAAUCCAGACAGAGAGAAUUUUAUGUGGGUGCCAGGACUGAUCCUAGAAAGAGUAGUAGGAAAGUUUGUCUUUAUGACUGUUUAUGCUUCAGCACUUCAUUUUUCCUUCCUUAUGAUUACUCUUCUUGAAUAUUUCUUGCAAUUUGCUAGUUAGGUGUUAACUGAUAAAUGCUUAGUGUCUAACCUAUUUCCAAAUAUCUGAAAUUGUCUUAAAAUCUCUUUCAGCCUUCUUAAACUACAUGGUACAUACCUGGCUUUCCUCUAUCUCAUUUCUGUCUUUCCUACUCAGUUUGUGUUUUGACCACAGAGAGCAAAGUUUGAAACUAUCAUGUGUUUCUUUAUAACAUUUUUGCCAGUGGGUUUGUUUGCAUGGAACCAACCCUUGAAUCUGAAGGAACUGAUCAAUAAGAAAGUAGAAUGCUACUUCAGAAAAUUACUGGACUUUAAAAAAAGGAAUGUACUGGUCUCUGCAUUAGAUUUAGUGAUUCUUUGGUACUUCCUAUAUUUCAAAGAAAUCACAUUAAAAUUAUGUCGUUUGGAAAAAAACAACUUUUGGAAAGGCUCCUCUUAAAAUAAUAUAUAUUCCUUGAAGGAAACCUAAUUCAAAUAAUAAAGAUAUUUUAAUAUAUGUAUAACUUCAUUAUAUAGAGAUUUCAACUGUGGAUAUUUAAACUAUAAUCAUUAUUUUGUUAUUAUAAAUUAUACUGUGAUUAAUGCCUUGUACUAGAAUCUUUUGUUGUUUUGUUGCUGAAGCCUUUGAAAGUAAGUUGCAGACAUCAUGUUUUAUUUUGCGGUGUCUUAGUAUGUGCUUCCCGUAAGCAAGGGCACUCUCCUAGAGAAUCUCAGUACUAUUUUCCCAGGAGUUUAGCACUAGCAUAAUAAUAGUUUCUAAAAUAUAGCCCAUGUUCAAAUGCCCUCAUUGUCCCCUGUAUGCCCUUUAUAGAAUUAUACAGCGUUCCUUUGUCUCUUCUUACCUACUUCUUUUCUUCCUUCCUCCCUCCCUUUCUUCCUUUCCUCCCUUUCAAUCCAGGAUUAUACAUUGCAUAUAGUUAUUAUUUUAGACUAAAGGAGACUAUUUAGUCUCCUAUUUAAACAGCCCCCUUCAAUUUAAAAUAUUCCUGUUCCCACUGUUGUUUUCUUUUUUAAAAAUAAUGACCUUUGUAAUUUUGAAGAGUCCAAGCCAGUUGUCUUUCAGACUGUUCCCUAAUCUGGAUUUUAAAAAAUUAUUUCUCAUGGUUAGAUUCAGACUAAUAAUUUUUGGCAAGAAUGCAACAUAGGUUAUAUUGUGGAGAUUCACAUUGAAAUUAUACUUUUCUUGUUGUAAAAAAUAGGCACAUAUUCACCUAUUUUGAAUGAUGUGUUCAAAAUUUUCAAAAGAUUCUUUGCCAAUUUGAAUAAAAACAUUUAGUUCUUAUUUUGUUGAUUACUGAUGAAGUAAAACACCAUAUAAUUUUUUUUGGCCAUGCCCAUGUCAUGUGGGAGUUUCCAGGCCAGGGAUCUGAACCUGAGACACAGCAUUGGCAAUACUGAGAUGUUAACUGCUAGGCCACUAGGGAACUCCAUAAUGUAAUUUUUUAUUAAUAUUUUUCUUUUGUGAAUUUAUUGGUCAUUUAUUUCAUCCAUAAAAUAAACUAGCCUAUUAAUAUACUUAAGCCACUUUUAUCAAAUUUAAUGCAAAUACUUUUGAAGGAACCUUCUUGUAAUUUUUAAGUAUGAAAUUGAAAAUAACAAAAUAAACUCUCUCUGUAGUUAACAGACAGCUUCUAGGUGGUUCCUUAGAGUUAUUAUGCAAUAUCACAUGUGUAUGCCUCUUACGUGGCUUCAGCUAGCAUUCGCUAGUCUACACUGGGCCUCAUUUUAGCUUUAAUCAUUGGGAAUCUACAAGAUAAUUCACAGACUUCAAAUAUCCUGGUAACCUCUUUAUGAUGAGGGUUUGUGUAUCAGUGAGUUAAAAUAGAAAAAUGCUUAGAAUUUUGCCAUACCAACACGUGAAAUAGAUUUGGGAAGGUACAUUUUCAGAACUUAAAACUGUCAAAAAAUUGCAGACGCUAAUAGCAGGUAGGCAGAUUUGCUGGGCAGAGAGACAAAGAUGGGUUGCAAACUACUGCAAGUUAGGUUUAUCCCCAAUACAUCUAAAUUAUUUAAUUUAGGUUUGCCCUAGGAUGCAGAUAACAGCAGAAAGAGUAGUCUAGAUAGUCCCACUUUGAAAAGGAUUCUCCUGCUUCUCUGAGGAUGAAGAGUUGUGUAGCUGGUGAGUGAUGGCUUCACAGGAUUUACAUUUACUGUAUAUUAAUGCCACUUAUUUCAUUAUGGAUGUUACUAGAUCAUUUAGUUAAUAGAUAUUAGGAAGAUGUUCAGUUGAAGUUGAAAGAGAACAGCGUGUGACUCCCAGAGCAUCCAAGAUGUCCCACAAAGUGGCAAAUAUUUUGAUGGGUAUUUUCCUUAACUUUUCAAGUUCAAACAUAUAAUUUUGUCAACCCUUGAAGAGUAAGAACUAAGAAUGUAUGUCUUGCAGAUUGUUUCCCAACAUUUGGUGCCCUAUCCUGGAUAAGAAUAAUGUAUUGCCACGUUGUUGAACUUAGGUGAAGUGGGGUGACUUGCCUUGCUGAUAUCGUUUCUGGGCAGAGAUUUUUUCAUUUUCUCUUCUUCUCCUUCUCUGAUGCUACAAGGAUAACCCAUGAUGUUCCUGAUAGGAACUAUUCUGUAAGGCUGGGAGACCAGAGUGGAGAUGGCAUGGACUAGACCUAUAGAUGCCUGUGUUGUAGUCACUGAGGUUUUUAGGGAUGAUUUUUCCCAGAAUAACUUACCCUAUUCUAAGGGAUAAAAUUUUUCAAGGAUGUGCUAGUGCUAUCCAAGGCUAAUGCUUUUACCCUGGAGACAUAUUUUCCCAAGUAAAGUAAGAAUAGAAUACACGUGGACCAAAAUAUUUCCAUGAGCAUGACCAUUAGAGUUAUACAUUGAGGUAGAGCUUCAGUAGCAGGUUGACUUGUAGACCUAAUUUCCUUGUUUUGAAUUUUUGUUCUUUGAAAGUAGAUUUUGUUUCAGGAAAUAGCCAUAACCAAAAGUCAUUUGGAACCAAAUAGACUGUUUAAGGUGGUUACAUUGUACAAUCUCCGAAAAUGGCUAGGAAUGGUAGAGCAUUUGUCUACUUUAUACCUUCCUGCCUGAAAAUAGCAAGAAUGCUCUUCCAUCCGUUUGCCAAAACUCAGAGAUUUUAAAAAUAAUUUUUGUGAUAUUUGAAAUUAUUUCAGCUAGUUCUAGAACAUCUUUAUUAAAUCAUAUCCUACAGCUUCUCCCCAGACGAUUUAGAAUGUUUACCUCAGGUCUCAUUUCCAUUUUGGCUAAUCAAGUUGUGAUGAGGAUCAGAGUGAUUACUUUAGAGUGAGGAGUAGAACGGAGUCAUUCAUUUUCUCUACUAUCUUUGAAACUGUGUUCAUGAAAUUUAAAUCAUUGGCUGAAAGGCACAUAAUUCUGGCCAACUACUUAAGUGUCUCAUAGUAUCGCAAAAAGGCUAGAAACAUCUACGAAAUUGUCACAUCCUUUUUUAUAAGAUAGAUUUAUAGGUUUGUCUUUUUUGACCAGGUAACUGUGUAAUGUCAUAAUGAUUUGUUUUGUUGUGUUAGCUGAGUCUCAAACAUAUGCUUGCAGAAUUCAUUUAAGGAGGGAAAUUUCUUUCCCUCAGGAGUAUUUUUAGGAUGGAUUGUUGUAAUCUUUUUGAGGUUCUUGGAUUCACUAGGAGACUUUAAAUUCCAAUACUUAAUAGAAAUUAGCACAUUUAAAAUAUGAACUCAUGUCUAUUUGCAUACUAGCUUUUGCUGAAGAUAUAAAAAUGUCCAAAAUAUUUAGUUAAAAAAAGUCUAGGAGUUCUUGUCGUGGCUGUCUGGGUUAAAAACCUGACACAGGGUCCAUGAGGAUGCUGGUUCGAUCGCUGGACUCGCUCAGUGGGUUAAGGAUCCAGCAUUGCUUAAGCUGCAGCAGAGGUCACAGUUGCGGCUCAGAUCCAGUGUUGCCAUGGCUGUGAUACAGGCCUGAAGCUGGAGCCCUGAUUGGACUCCUAGCCCAGGAACUUCCAUAUGCUGCAGGUGCAGC
rnacentral:lncRNA from 1 species